GACAGAGGGGGCAAGCGUUGCUCGGAAUUACUGGGCGUAAAGGGCGCGUAGGCGGCCACCGCAAGUCGACUGUGAAAUCUCCGGGCUUAACCCGGAAAGGUCAGCCGAUACUGCGGGGCUAGAGUGCAGAAGGGGCAACUGGAAUUCUCGGUGUAGCGGUGAAAUGCGUAGAUAUCGAGAGGAACACCUGCGGCGAAGGCGGGUUGCUGGGCUGACACUGACGCUGAGGCGCGAAAGCUAGGGGAGCGAACGGG
rnacentral:rRNA from 1 species